CUCAAAUCUCGAAAGAAAAUGUUUUAUACUCCAUAUGAUAGCUUGCUCCAGUCCCGUAGGAAACUUUUGUACACUUCUAUGCUUCUAGCAUUCCGAUGGCAUCCUCAAAUGAUACAAGUCUGCGAUAAAAAUCUGCCUUGCCCUUGUUACCCGUAGCUUAAAAACAACUUUGUCCGCCUAAACAGGUACGAUGGACAGCUGCAGCGUUCCCCUAUUCUCAAGAAAUGGUCUCACCGCCACAAAUCAUUGUCGCUCUUCUCCGAAAUUCUCCCUUUCACGACUUCUCCAAUUUAUAGCACUGAAUCAUCGGUAAUUGAGGCAACUGGUGCUAACUACUAUUCUGUUCAGUUCUACUUUUGUCGGUGCUUGUCAUUUAUAAAAAGGGCAGCACGGUGCACUAAGUCCCGCUAUGCGCGGGGUUCGGGGAAGGACCGGACCACAAGGGUCUACCAUGUGGAGUGUUACCCUGCAUUUCUACAAGAGGUUGUUUCCACAGCUCGAACUCAUGACCUCCUAGUCACAUGCAACAAGAGCAGCAGUAGCAGUACAGGGGAUUGGUUUAGCAGAAGAGCAGGCAGAAGAUGCUGAAGCUACAAAGUGAGUGCCCAUGGUCUAGAUUUUCUUUCCCAAAAAUCCCUUAUGCUGCUGCAGUUAUUUACUGAUCUCAAAUAUUGGAAUUAAGAAUGAAGCUUAAGAAGAUUAAAGUUGAAAGCACAGGAAUUUGGUAGUGGGUUUAUCUCAUCUUUAAUGGAGAAGUUUAUGACUAAUCAACAAAGAUUUCCAGUAUUGAUUAACAAUGAAUUUUGAUUACUUUAGUGAGCCAUUUUUGUUAGUGGUGCGAUUCAUGUCUUCAGUCUUCUUGUUCAUCUGUCAACUGUUAACCUUUCAAAAUAGUUUUGUGUCACCGAAAUAUCUCAAAGCUAAAAGGUCAUGCGUUUACGGCUUUUCCCACCUCAAGUAAAAUGCAUUGACUAAGAUUUUUGAUUCUGAACAUUCAUGUUGAUUUGGUCAAUGACCAAACAUACAACAACGAAUGGAGGAGCAGUCAAAUUGAUUAAAGUUGUAAAAACAAGCAUAACACCUGAGAUGACCAAACAAUACAUAGCUUAUGAUAAAUGAAAUUGAGAUGGACUGACAUAAAGCAGAUAUUUAUGCCAAAGUUGGCCUGAAAUUUAUAACAUUUCUUUACUAUUUAAUAUGUGGGCAAACUCAUAUAAUUCUGGCUCUAAGAACAGCAAUGACAUCCUGAUGCUUAAGAAAAUGCACCAGCAACUCCUUCCUUUUAGGCUCCAUUUUAUCAGCAUUAUUUUCUUCAUCUUCAUUGUCAUCUGUCCCAUCAGAUGAUAAAUAAAGUGGAGGCAGUAACUCCCCUUUAUCUAGCAAAGCAAGGCUCUCUUUGUAAGUGCCAAAAUAAAAAGAGUACCUAGUGCCAAGAAUAUUGAGGUGCAGCUUUUCUUGUG